ensembl:lncRNA
UUGGCACCGGUCAGAAGACAUGUGUGUGUGUCUCUGUGUGUGUGUGUGUGUGUGUGUGUGUGUGUGUGUGUGUGUGUGUGUGUGUGUGUGUGUGUGUGUGUGUGUGUGUGUGCCACUCCUGGGGGUGGAUGGAGGUGCAGAGCCACUCGGAGAGCAAAGCCGUCACAGAGAGGCAGGCAGUGAGGGCAGUCAUGCAGGCAGUCAUGCAGGCAGGCAGGCAGGCAGUCAUGCAGGCAGGCAGUGAGGGCAGGCAGGCAGGGCAGGCAGCGGGGCCGGGCCUGGCUGGGCUGUGCUUCGCCUCUGUUCUGUUCUGUUCUGCUGGGCUGGACUGUGCCAGGUGCUCGCAUCUAGUGGAGAGGCUUUGGAUGCAGCCAGGAGUGUGUGUGUGUGUGUGUGUGUGUGUGUGUGUGUGUGUGUGUGUGUGUGUGUGUGUGUGUGUGUGCCAGGGCUCUGAUGGUUGUGUGUGUGUGUGUGUGUGUGUGUGUGUGUGUGUGUGUGUGUGCCAGGGCUCUGUGUUCCAGAGAGGAAAUGUGCAAAGCUGAGCGAGGCCAGAAACACAUCAGCACGUGUGGGGGGGGCAGGGAGCUACUGGAGAACAGGCAUAUCUGCUGAGCACAUCUGUCUACAUGAGCGCAUGUGUGUGUGUGUGUGUGUGUGUGUGUGUGUGUGUGUGUGUGUGUGUGUGUGUUUGAGAGAGAGAGAGAGAGUGUGUUUGUGUAACAUGCGUUUGUAUGUUGAUUUUUCUGAAAUGACCAUGUAAAUUGCAAACGUUUGAGGGAGAGAAUCUUUUGGUUAACUGCUCUAUAAAGCAUGAAAAAAUACAAGUGCAUGUUAUAAAGUUGUGUGAAAGGCAUUGAUCAAGUCAUACAAUUCAUGGCGUGAAACAGGAGGAUGUCUGUGUAUGUAACGGUGGCUGGUUUUUAUCUGUGUAUGCAUUUGUUUGUUUAUGUGUGUGUGUCAGUGUGUGCGUGAGUGAUUGUGUGUGUGUGUGUGUGUGUGUGUGUGUGUCAGUGUGUGCGUGAGUGAUUGUGUAUGUGUGUGUGUGUCUGUGCCAGUGUGUGUGUGUGUGUUUGUGUGUGUGUGUCAGUGAUUGUGUAUGUGUGUGUGUAUGUGUGUGUGUGUGCGCAUGUGUGUCAGUGUGAGUGAUUGUGUGUGUGUGUGUGUGUGUGUGUAUGUUUGUGUGUCAGUGUGCGUGUGAGUGAUUGUGUAAGUGUGUGUGUGUGUGUGUAUGUUUGUGUGUGUGUGUGUGUGUGUGUGUGUGUGUGUGUGUGUGUGUGUGUGUGUGUGUGUAAGCAUGUGUCUGUAAACCUGUGUGCUGGACCCUACUCCCUAGAGGGUACUGCUUGAGAGGAGGUUGUCUGUGUACGGCGAAUUGAACACGAGA